UACGUAGGGUGCGAGCGUUAAUCGGAAUUACUGGGCGUAAAGCGUGCGCAGGCGGUUCGUUGUGUCGGUGGUGAAAUCCCCGGGCUUAACCUGGGAAUGGCCAUGGAAACUGGCGAACUGGAGUGCGGCAGAGGGGGUGGGAAUUCCGCGUGUAGCAGUGAAAUGCGUAGAUAUGCGGAGGAACACCGAUGGCGAAGGCAAUCCCCUGGGCCUGCACUGACGCUCAUGCACGAAAGCGUGGGAGCGAAACAAGGAUUGAUGAUACCC
rnacentral:rRNA from 1 species